UAUACACAUAUAUACUUAUAUGUGUAUAUAUUGUGUACAUGUACACUAUAUAUUAUUAUCGUCUAUGACAACUGACUCAGAUUAUAUAUUUACAUCAUGUAGACAUUGUCUGUUUUUUGUAUUUAAGAAUAUAUUUCUUUUGCCCCCCGCCCCCUCGUUCUCUCCCUCGUUCUCUGUCCGUCCGUCGUCGUCGUCCUCAAACUAAGACAGAAGUGAACAGUAAACAAACGUCAUCAGUAGUGUUUGAUUUAAUGGACAGUUUCAUCGUAGCAGCUGAGGUCACGUGAUCACAGGUCACGUGAUCACAGGUCAUGUGACCUCAGGUCCAGGGGUCAGUGCUGUAGUGUGUCUGUGACAGAGAAACAGUGAGGAGGAGGAGGCAGAGAUGAAGAUCACAGCAGGGGGUCUACAGACCAGACCAGU